AGCGUUGUUCGGAAUCACUGGGCGUAAAGGGCGCGUAGGCGGCUUUAUAAGUCGGGGGUGAAAGCCUGUGGCUCAACCACAGAAUUGCCUUCGAUACUGUAGAGCUUGAGACCGGAAGAGGUAAGUGGAACUGCGAGUGUAGAGGUGAAAUUCGUAGAUAUUCGCAAGAACACCAGUGGCGAAGGCGGCUUACUGGUCCGGUUCUGACGCUGAGGCGCGUAAGCGUGGGGAGCAAACAGGAUCAGAUACCCUGGUAGUCCACGCCGUAAACGAUGAAUGCCAGCCGUUGGCGAGCUUGCUCGUCAGUGGCGCAGCUAACGCUUUAAGCAUUCCGCCUGGGGAGUACGGCCGCAAGGUUAAAACUCAAAGAAAUUGACGGGGGCCUGCACAAGCGGUGGAGCAUGUGGUUUAAUUCGAAGC
rnacentral:rRNA from 1 species